AUUGAACGCUGGCGGCAUGCCUUACACAUGCAAGUCGAACGGCAGCACGGGAGCAAUCCUGGUGGCGAGUGGCGAACGGGUGAGUAAUAUAUCGGAACGUGCCCAGUCGUGGGGGAUAACGUAGCGAAAGCUACGCUAAUACCGCAUACGAUCUAUGGAUGAAAGCGGGGGAUCGCAAGACCUCGCGCGACUGGAGCGGCCGAUAUCAGAUUAGGUAGUUGGUGAGGUAAAGGCUCACCAAGCCGACGAUCUGUAGCUGGUCUGAGAGGACGACCAGCCACACUGGGACUGAGACACGGCCCAGACUCCUACGGGAGGCAGCAGUGGGGAAUUUUGGACAAUGGGCGCAAGCCUGAUCCAGCAAUGCCGCGUGCAGGAUGAAGGCCUUCGGGUUGUAAACUGCUUUUGUACGGAACGAAACGGUGAGCUCUAAUACAGCUUGCUAAUGACGGUACCGUAAGAAUAAGCACCGGCUAACUACGUGCCAGCCGCCGCCGUAA
rnacentral:rRNA from 1 species